rnacentral:rRNA from 2 species
AGACCCGAAACCCGGUGAUCUAGCCAUGGGCAGGUUGAAGGUUGGGUAACACUAACUGGAGGACCGAACCGACUAAUGUUGAAAAAUUAGCGGAUGACCUGUGGCUGGGGGUGAAAGGCCAAUCAAACCGGGAGAUAGCUGGUUCUCCCCGAAAGCUAUUUAGGUAGCGCCUCGUGAAUUCAUCUCCGGGGGUAGAGCACUGUUUCGGCUAGGGGGCCAUCCCGGCUUACCAACCCGAUGCAAACUGCGAAUACCGGAGAAUGUUAUCACGGGAGACACACGGCGGGUGCUAACGUCCGUCGUGAAGAGGGAAACAACCCAGACCGCCAGCUAAGGUCCCAAAGUCAUGGUUAAGUGGGAAACGAUGUGGGAAGGCCCAGACAGCCAGGAUGUUGGCUUAGAAGCAGCCAUCAUUUAAAGAAAGCGUAAUAGCUCACUGGUCGAGUCGGCCUGCGCGGAAGAUGUAACGGGGCUAAACCAUGCACCGAAGCUGCGGCAGCGACACUCAGGUGUUGUUGGGUAGGGGAGCGUUCUGUAAGCCUGCGAAGGUGGCCUGUGAGGGUUGCUGGAGGUAUCAGAAGUGCGAAUGCUGA